rfam:Salmo salar isolate Sally breed double haploid chromosome ssa17, whole genome shotgun sequence.
GGUGGACCAAUUUGUAAGUCGCUCUGGAUAAGAGCGUCUGCUAAAUGACUUAAA